CUCGUAGGCGGUUUGUCGCGUCGUCUGUGAAAUUCUGCAGCUCAAUUGUAGGCGUGCAGGCGAUACGGGCAGACUUGAGUACUACAGGGGAGACUGGAAUUCCUGGUGUAGCGGUGAAAUGCGCAGAUAUCAGGAGGAACACCGGUGGCGAAGGCGGGUCUCUGGGUAGUAACUGACGCUGAGGAGCGAAAGCGUGGGUAGCGAACA
rnacentral:rRNA from 1 species